rnacentral:rRNA from 1 species
AUUGAACGCUGGCGGCAGGCCUAACACAUGCAAGUCGAGCGGGGUUUUCGGACCUAGCGGCGGACGGGUGAGUAAUGCGUAGGAAGCUGCCCGAUAGAAGGGGAUACCAGUUGGAAACGACUGUUAAUACCGCAUAAUGUCUACGGACCAAAGUGUGGGACCUUCGGGCCACAUGCUAUCGGAUGCGCCUACGUGGGAUUAGCUAGUUGGUGAGGUAAUGGCUCACCAAGGCGACGAUCUCUAGCUGGUUUGAGAGGAUGAUCAGCCACACUGGAACUGAGACACUGUCCAGACUCCUACGGGAGGCAGCAGUGGGGAAUAUUGGACAAUGGGCGCAAGCCUGAUCCAGCCAUGCCGCGUGUGUGAAGAAGGCCUUCGGGUUGUAAAGCACUUUCAGCGAGGAGGAAGGGGUGUGUGUUAAUAGUACACACCUUUGACGUUACUCGCAGAAGAAGCACCGGCUAACUCUGUGCCAGCCGCCGCGGUAAUAC